rnacentral:lncRNA from 1 species
CCUUUCUCGGCCUUUUGGCUAAGAUCAAGUGUAGUAUCUGUUCUUAUCAGUUUAAUAUCUGAUACGUGGGCCAUCGGUCCACAUGAUAUUAAAUUAAUUUUUUUAGGGGGAGAGCUCACUCACAAUAGCUUGCUAUUGGGGCUCUUGCGCGUCGCCCAAGCGUUGCACUUGCUGCUCGGGCCUGGCGCACCCCACCCAAUUCCACUCCAAAUAUUUAGUGAACUUAGAAAUUUUUAAAGAAUUGUAUUAUUUUGAUUAAUUGUUAGAUAAAUUUAAGAUUAAUUUUUAAAGAUUAUCUUAGUUAUAUUAUGAAUCAUGAAUUAGAACAAAAAUGGGUAUGUGAGGUCAUUAAAUUUUUUAAUGGUUUAAUGAGUUAAGAAGCCUAUAAAUUUUUAACCUGGCUUUGCUUAUGACUAUAGUACAACUUAUUUUCAUUUCCUUUUUUUGAGUUAAAAUUUAAGAUGAAUCUAAGAUUAUAAUAAUCAAAAGCCACAAGCCUUAAGGCACAAACUUAAUUAAUUUUAGUUAGUUUGAGUUGAACUAAAAUAGGAGGUUUGUAAACCCAUCAGCAUAGGUUUUCUCCCCUUUUAAUUUGCAAGGUUAAAAGGAAAGUACCCUUGAUCCAUAUUUUUGAAUAAAAUUCAAAUUGCUCAGAAACCUUUUUAAUCAAUUUUAAAAAAAAUGAAAAAAGACCAAUUAAUAAUGAUUUGGAAACUGAUCAUUGUUUCCUUCGAAUUUCACAAGUCUGUAUGAACCAGAGAAAGGAAGGGAAGCUAGCCUAUUCUCGGUUUGGAAAUUCAUUCAUCCCAUAUUGAACAAGUAGAAGUAAGUGGCAGGGAACAGAGGAAGCAGAGACUAUAAAUACAGGGCAGGUGGCAACGAUCAAACAUACUUACCUGGACGGGGUCGAUGGGUGAUCAGAAAGGCUCAUGGCCUAAGCAAGCGGCCUCCAUUGCACUGAGGAGGGGCGCUUGCCUAAGGUCUCCCCUAGUGGGAGAGCCUACGUCAUAAUUUGUGGUAGUGGGGGCCUGCGUACGCGCGGCCCCUGUCCAAUUCUAGUAACUAACGUUUGAAGAUCUAGGUUAUGUAGGGAUCAGGGCUUAAGGCCUUUGCUGGGCUCACCAAAAGUCCUGUUAGCUUAUUUUCUUAGUGGAGUCCCCACAUCGACUGAAGCAUGCGUACAACAAAGGGAGGGUAGAUUAAGGCCUGCAUAUGCCAAGUUCCCAACUGUUUUCUUGAUGAAGCACUUAUUAAAGUUAAUUGAAUUUCAGUAAAUUGCGAACAAUUUGGAUGAACUUGGGUUUGCUUUCAACAUUGCCAUCCUGCCACUUCUUCAUUCUUGUUUCCUAUAGGCAAAGCACCAGAAUUCUCCUAAACCCGAAGCCUAUGUCUUCUUUCUUUGUUCCACAGGGUUGAGAAAAGAACAUGUUUAAGUUUCUGAGUAGUUCAACAGAUUACCUGUUUCUCUCAAUCUUUAGCCCUGUUUUGCACCAAAGAAAGUUCGUUUACAUCCUCAUCGUUCAAUGACUACUCUCAUGAUUGAGAAGGGAGUUUUCAUGAUGAACCAUAGAUACUAACCCCAGUUGCAAACUAUGGCACCUAAUCCACAAUUUCAACGUUUCUUUGGUUGUGCUUUCUCGACAAGUCAACUAGUGACCCAGAAAAAACUGUCUUCGUUGUUUGUUCCGCUGGGGUAAGCCGAGUAAAAUAAUAUGAUUCAGAAAAGAACGUGUUCCAAGUUUCUAAGUAGUUCAUAGAUUACCUAUUGCUCUCCACCUAGGAAUUCGAAUCCCCUAACUAACUCUGUUUUACACCCAAAAACCAUAUUUAUCAAUAUCAUAUGUGUAUGGAUACAAUAAAAAAUUAUAUGUAUUUAUAGUUAUUUCGUAUUUGAUUAAAUAUUGAAAAUAUAUCGUGUGAUAUAUAAUAUGUAUUUUAUAAUAUAUAAAAUAUCAUAUGAUAUAAUCGAUAUAUUUUUUAUAAAUUUAAUUCUAAUUAAUUACUAAAAAUUUAUUUUUUUGUUUUUUUAAAUUGACACAUUAAAAAUUAUUUUUCAUGAAUUUCAAUUUUAAAUAAAAAAUAUUCAAAAAAUUGAAUUCGCUUUUGAUUUCAACAUGAUAAGUUUUUUUAAUUUUUAAUUAAUAAAUGAAAAUGAAAAAUAUAUAUUUUAUUUAAAAAUAUAUAUUAUUAAGGAAUAUGUUGAGAGUUUAAAUUUAAAAAAAAUCUCAUUUUCAAUUUAUACUUUAUAAUGUUUAAUUUUUUAAAAAUAUAAUAAUUUUAAAGGUAAAAUAUAUUAACACAAAUGAAUAUUUCAUUUUAAAUGUGUAAACAACGUUAAUACCUAAAUAUAAAAAAUUUAAAAUACUUUUUUUCACCUUUUCCUUUCUCUUAGGCCGAUUAGACUGACCGACCACCCAUUGCCCUGGGCUCCCAUGGGGCACACCCUCCCCUGCAAAUCACCAAAUCGAAGCAAGGAGCUCCAAAUUGGGCUCCCCAAGGCAACACCAGAUCUGGUGCUCAAUUGGGGAGUGUCGUCGACCCCGGUAGCCAAAAAGAAUCUUUUUUGAAAUAAAGAAAAAAUUUUAAAAUAAAAAAUUAUAAUUUAUAUAAUAAUAAUUUUUAAAAUUAAUAAAAAAUAAAAUUAUUUUAAAAAUAUUAUCGCAUCAUCAAAUUAACAUAAACAUUAACAAUUGACUAAUAACAAAACUUAUAUGUUUAACAAAAAAAGUUUUUUAAACAGAAUAUUUACGUUGAAAACUAGUAAACUUAUAUAUAAUUAUAAUUAAAAAUUUAGAGUAUUAGUGUAUUUUAUAUUAUUUUUAAUUUUUUUUAUUUUAUAUGUAUAAAUAUUAUUUAUAAUUAUUUUUAAAAUUUUUUACUAUAUUUUACGAUAUGAUAUUUGAUAUUAUAAAAAUAAAAUUUUAAUACACUAUAUGUAUUUUAAUUUAAGAAUUAUAUAAAAAAAAAAUAUGUUCUCUCUUUUGUUCAAAAUCCCACAUUAAAACUAUACGAGACAAGUGGUGAGAAGCUGCCUUUAAAAGAAACGACCCCUGGAUGGCAAAAGCAUACCUUUCUCGGCCUUUUGGCUAAGAUCAAGUGUAGUAUCUGUUCUUAUCAGUUUAAUAUCUGAUACGUGGGCCAUUGGUCCACACGAUAUUAAAUUAAUUUUUUUAGGGGGAGAACCCAUCUACAGUAGCUUGCUACUGGGGAUCUCGUGUGUCGCCCUAGCGUUGCACUACAGCUUGGGCCUGGCUAACCCCAACCAAUGCCAGUCUAAAUAUCUUUUUGAAUUUAGCCAGUCUAAAUAUCUUAUUGAAGAUAGCAGUAUCCCCAAAUACCAGUCAUGACAGCUCGGGCCUGGCACGACCCACCCAAUACGAGUUUUAACAUGUGUUCAAAUAUUUGAGGUAAUAUAUAUAUUAUUUGCUUGAUUUUUUAUUUAAUAAAAGGUUCAUUUUAAGGUCAAAAUUAGUUUAAAUUUUUUAUGAAACUUAUGUUUGAGUAUUUUUCCAAUUUAGAAGUACAGAUAAAAUUAUGUUAAUUCAAAAAUGGGUUGCAAAUUUAUUGGAUCUUUUAGUGCAGUAAAUAUAUGGUCUGUUCCUUUUUGAGUUAAAAUUUUAGUGUGAAGCUAGAAUUAUUGCAAGCAAAAGCCACAAGCCUGGAAUCUGCAUUAAACUUGAAUUGUUCUAGCUACAAAUCCCAAUUAACAAAGUGUAGCCCUUUAUCCCACGAAUUAAAGUAAAUCACUUAAUUUAAGCUUGAAUUUGAAUUAAAAAUAGGAGGUUUAUAGACCCAUCAACAGAGUUUUUUUUUUAUCUUUUUUUAAUUUGCAAGGUUAAAAGGAGAGUGCCCUUACUCUAUAUUUCUGAAUAAAAAUUUAAUUGUCAGACACUUUUUGAUGAAUUUAAAAAAAAAGAAGAAGAUGAAAGACCAAUUAAUAAUGAUUUGGAAACUGAUCAUUGUUUCCUUCGAAUUUCACAAGUCUGUUUGGAUGAGAGAAAGGAAGGGAAGCUAACUUUGGAAAUUCGUUUGUCCCACCUUACACAAGCAAAAGUAGGGAGUAGGGUGCAGAGGAAGCAGAGACUAUAAAUACAGGGCAGGUGGCACCGGUAAAACAUACUUACCUGGACGGGGUCGAUGGGUGAUCAUAAAGACCCAUGGCCUAGGUAAGCGGCCUCCAUUGCACUUAGGAGGGGCGCUUGCCUAAGGUCUCCCCAAGCGGGAGAGCCUACGUCGUAAUUUGUGGUAGUGGGGGCCUGCGUUCGCGCGGCCCCUGUCCAAUUCUAGUAACUAAAGUUUUAGGUUUCGGUAAUGUGGGGACCAUGGAUUAAGGCCGUCGCGGGGCUCAACCAAAGUCGUGUUUGUUUAUUUUCUUAGAAGUCUCUAAAUCGACUGAAGCAUGCAUGUAACAAAGAAAGGAGAGGCCUGCAUAAGCCAAGUUCCCAACUGUUUUCUUGAUGAAGCACUUAUUAAAGUUAAUUGAAUUUCUGCAGAUUAUGAACAGUUUUGAUGAACUUGGGUUUGCUUUCCACAUUGCCAUUCUGCCACUUCUUAAAAUUUGUUUCCUAUAUUCAAAACGCCAGAAUUCUCCUAAACUUGAAAUCUCUGUCUUCUUUCUUUGUUCCACAGGGUUGAGAAAAGAACACGUUCAAGAGUAGUUCAAUAGAUUACCUGUUUCUCUCAAUCUUUAGCCCUGUUUUGCGCCAAAGAAAGUUCGUUUACAUCCUCAUUGUUGCAUGACUACUCUAAUGAUUGAAAAGGGAGUUUUCAUGAUGAACCAUAGAUACUAACCCCAGUCGCAAACUAUGGCACGUAAUCCACAAUUUCAACAUUUCUUUGGGUGUGCUUUCACAGCAAGUCAGUAAGUGGCCCAGAAAAAACUCUAUGUCUUCAUUGUUUCUUCCACCGGGUUAAGCCUACCAUAACAAUGAUUAAGAAAAAAAACAUGUUCCAAGUUUCUAAGUAGUUUAUAGAUUACUUGUUCCUCCCCACCUAUUUUAAAAAUAGAAUUCGAAUCCUCUAAUUCAAUUCUGCAUCAAAAAAUAUAUUUAUUAAUAUCAUACAAUACGUAAUACGUAUAGUAUUUGAUUUGUAUUUAUAAUUAUAUCGCAUUUGAUUAAAUAUCAAAAUCAUAUCAUAUGGUACGUGAUAUGUAUUUUAUAAUACAAAAAGUAUCAUACGAUAUAGUUGAUACGUUUUUUUACAAAUUUAAAUCUAAUUAAUUAUGAAAAUUUGUUUUUUUUUAUUUUUUAAAUUGAAACAUUAAAACUAUUUUAAAUUAGUUUUAAUCUUUAGAUUUUAAAUAAAAAUAAUAAAAAAUUGAAUUAUUUUUUAUUCCAACAUGAUAAGUGUUUUUAAAUUUUUAAUUAAUAAAUUAAUAUAAAAAUGUAUAUUUUUUUAAAUAUAUAUUAUUAAGAAAUAUGUUGGCAGUUUAAAUUAAAAAAUAAUCCUCUUUUCAAUUUAUAUUUUAUAAUCUACCAUUAUUAAAAGUAAAAUACACUAACAUCUUUAACUUUUAAUUAUAAUUAUACACAGAUUCACUAGUUUUCAAAGUAAACAUUCUGUUCCAAAUGUGUAAAUGACGUUAAUGCCUAAACAUGAAAUGUCUAAAAUAUAUAUUUUCUUUUUUUUUUUCACAUUUUCUUUUCUCUCCAGUUGGCUAGUGACCUUUUUUUACACCGAUCGACCACAUCUACCUGAGCUCCCUUAAAGAGCACUAAAUCGGAGCAAGGAGCCCCAAAUUGGCUCCCCACAAAAGCACUAGAUCUACUGCUCCCCUAGGAGUGCCAUUGGUCACGAGUGGUCUGAAAGAUUUUUUUUUAAAUGAGAAAAUAUUUAAAAAUAAAAAAUUAUAAUUUAUAUAAUGUUAAUGUUUCAAAUUAAUAAAAGAUAAAAUUAUCUUAAAAAUAUUAUUAUGUCAUUAAAUCAAUAGAAACAUUGAUAAUUGACUAACGAUAAGACUUAUAUAUUUAGAAAAAUAGUUUUUUUGACAAAAUUUCACUUUAAAAAUUAAUAUAUCUACGUGUAAUUAUUAUUAAAAUUAAAAGUGUUAGUAUAUUUUAUUUUAUUUUACAUGUAUAAAUAUUAUUUAUAAUUAAUUUUAAAAUUUUUACUAUAUCUUAUAAUAUGAUACUCGAUACUAAAAAAUAAGAUAUCAAUACACGAUACAUAUCUUAAUUUAACAAUUAUGUCCAAAAAAUAACCCAUUUGAUAAUAAUUCUCUUUCGUUCGAAAUCCCACAUUGAAACUAUACGUGACAAGGGGCAAGAAGCUGCCUUUAAAAGAGGCGAGUCUCAUAAAAAGCAAAGCAUACCUUUCUCGGCCUUUUGGCUAAGAUCAAGUGUAGUAUCUGUUCUUAUCAGUUUAAUAUCUGAUACGUGGGCCAUUGGUCCACAUGAUAUUAAAUUAAUUUUUUUAGGGGAAGAGCCCACAACGGUAGCUUGCUACUGGGGAUCUGAGGUGUCGCCCAUGCGUUGCACUAUAGCUUGGGCCUGGCGCACCCCACCCAAUACGAGUCUAAGUAUGUUUUUAAGGGUUGCGUUACAGCGCGAGCAUGGCGCGCUUCUUACGAUAUGUUUUGAAGUGUUGGAGGUUUAAUAUUUA